GAGUGUAUGAUAUGCUUGAAGAACAAAAUACAUCACAUCUGAAUUCUUUUUGGGGACAGGAGGAGUGUAGUUAAAGAGUAAGCCUAUGGUCAGACUAUGCUGCAGGAGCCAUCUCUUUAUCAACAAAUGAUCAUUAUUAUUACAUUUGCGUUUUUUUUGCAAAACAACUCUGGCAGCCAAAUACAGGGUGGAAUGAAGAGGAAAGAAGGCAAGGAGGCUAAUUAGCUGGUUGAUGCGAUGGGUAAUGAGGUCAGAACAAGGUCAGCAGGAGGUAGAAUGGAAAAGGUUGAGAGGGUUGGAGACAAUUUAGAGAUGGUAGAGACAUAAGAUGGCUACUUAUCAGAUGUGGGAAGUGGAGACGAAGUCAUUUGAGAUGGCAUUUGCAAAAGCUAGUUGUUGUUUGGAGGGGAAAAGGUGCAAAGGAGGUGAAAGCAUUUCUAACUUUACAGAUAAGGGAAAGUUGAUGCUGUUAACCAACAUAAGGAGUCUGGGAAGGAAAGCAUUUGGUUGAGGGCUGAAAGACAUGCUAAAUUUUGGAGGUGUUGAGUUUGAGGUAUCUAGCGUCCAGGAACAGAUGUCUGAUUGAUAUUUGGAAAAUAUGAUUGGAACCUUCCAAGUGAAAAAGACUGCUCCAUGGGUAAUGCCAAGAAGAGAAGAGAGUGGAAGUAGAACUUUGGAAAAUACCUGUAUUUUAGGGCUAGGUCAAGGAUGGGGUGUCAGCAAAGAGAUUGGAGGAGGAAAGGUCAGGGCCCAUAGAGAGAUAGUGCUCUGGGAGCCACAGGUGGAGCCAGCCAGUAAUGACAAACAGCGGGGCGAGCCCUACAGAGCCCCAAAGAAGUCCAGCUGGGCAAGCUGCCCCCAGCCCCACUCUGAUGCUCUCCAGCUGCUCUCUAAAGUUUAAAGCACUGGCAGUCCCUGCUAACCCACGGUUUCACUUUCUGAGCUCUGGAAGCAGAUAACCUUCCUUCUGACGUGUCCUCCAAUGCUACAGCACGCUGCCUACGUCAUUCAUCUCAUUUCAUAUCACAGAGGCAUUUUGUUAUCUCACGGCAUCACAAGAAGAGAGAUCACCUAGAAGAACCUUGAAGGUAGAGAAUCGUUCUUCCUCCUCAACCGUUGGCAUAGCCAGCAGGAUAAACUUUAGCUGGCUGGACACUGCUGCGGCUGAGAGAUUAUGGGACAUCUGACAAAAGCUGGCACGAGGGAAGAACCCUCAUCACCACAUCAGCCCACUGGAUCUCUGCCUGCCAGGUCUCGUGCAAGUGAGAGUGAUGGUCCCCAAAAUAUCCUGAGGUUCCUGCACCUGCCUGGAAGUGGCCCUCUUUACUUACCUGAGACAUGUCAAGGAAGAAGUUGCUGCAGCCAAGGUCAAAGAGGUUGCUGCCUUUAACAUCUCCCUUUUAUGGGAAGAACAAACCCUUGAAAUCUUCCAGAGAUCCUCUGGGAAGUUUCAAACUCAAGAAGACUUCAUU